AACGUUUACACGCUUCUUCCUUUGGCUCAUGAAUAUAACGUUGAAGAGAUGAUAAAACGUUGCCAACAACUGAUAAUGCAAAUAGUAAAGAAUAAACACACAGGAAACAUUGAGGAAUUAUACAGGCACAUUCAUUUGUCUGAACUGUAUAACCUGGAAGAAUUAAAAGAAAAGUGCAUUUAUCUAGCCUCAGAGAAUACUCUCGACCUACUCAAAGCGGCCAGAAUGGCUUUCCAAAUAUCAGAUGCCAGUCAUUACAAGAUUAUAGAGAUAGCUCUAAGGAGACGAGAGUUGGACACAUUUGAUGACCGAGUCUUUAAUGUUUGUAAUACAAAGGAGGAGAAAAUAAAAAAUAAUUCAAGGUAUGCUUUCGGAAUAACUUGUGAAUUAAAAGGACACAUCUGUACAGAUUGGUACCGUGAAGAAGAUAUUUGCAGAGCAUUGAGACUAAUGGACAGGUUCAAAAUUUCUGAGAAUCACAAACGCAUCCAGUCAGAGCUAAUUAAAAGGUUACAAGGUUUUUAUGUUAAUGGAGAUUAUAUGGAAGAAUUUUAUUUUCUCCCAGAAAAUAUUAAAGACUCUGUACAAAAUAAAGAAUAGGUGAAUGUUAUUGAAAAGGCUUACAAUUAUUGAAUAAUUCCUUCUUUGUAACUUUUCAAAGUGAACUAAGCAAGCUCUUAAAACUUGUAAGAAAUAAGAAGAUAUGAACUUGUGUCAGAUCCGUGGCUUUUGUAAUAUAAUACAAAACAUUGAUCUUUCCGUAAAAUGAAUUGAUCAUUCCCAAUUAAAGAAUUGAAGAAAUAUUCAUUCAUCAUAAAAAUUUAGUUUACACGCUUUCAUUUUCUAACAAUUGUACCUACAAAAUCAUAGCACUGAAAGAGAUUUUGCGGCUCGACCAAAAUACUCUGGUAAACAAACAUACAGCAAUUUGUCACAAAUCUAACUUUUCUUUUUUUCUCAAAAAUAGAUUGAAAAUAAGAAAUAAACGCCGGUAUUAGAGUAUCUAAAUUAUUUCAAUUAUAUAAAAAAUACAAAGCUUCGUUAACCAAAAUGUAACUUGUUUGCAUGACCUCUUCGUACUGCGAUGACUGCUUGAGAACAAUUUCCCAUUGACCUUAGAGACGGAAAGUAUAUAUAUAGAAUACUGUUCAAUUAAAUUCAAAACAUUAUGUUCGGUUGAUUAUUUGUGCAAGAUGUGUACCGUGAGAGUCAAUGACAGUUUAACCACUUAACAAGGCAAAAGUGUAUUAUGUUGUCUGAAUAUAUUCUAGACGCACCUAGACUUUUCACAUGCACACAAUCAUCGCUAAGCAACGUCAUUUGUAACGUUUCUAUAGAAAAUUAAACAAACCGAAAUAAAAUGCGAUUUAAACAUAGUUAAACAUAAAAGAAUUCAAAGGGCCACUAUUGCAACGGCUCGGCAAUGCUUACGCACUGACAUACCCGCCGUAUUUUACUCCUUUUUCUAAUGGAAUAUUCACCAAUACAGUUUGUAUUUACGUUCGUUCUUAUAAAGGAAGCAUGUUCCUUAAAUUUGUUUAUUGGAACUUUGGUUAAGUAUGGUUAAUUCUGAUACAAAAAUUGGAUUUGGUGAAUUGGUAAAAUAAAGAUUACUCCCAAAACGAUGUUGGAAGAUUUAGGUACACAUAUGUAAUACUUUAGAGAACAGUGCAUGUAAAUGCAUGACCAAGUAGAAACUAAGUGUAGUGUAUACUAGAUGGCUUGUUAUUGCAAAUAACACGCUUUCUUACUUGACUUGACUUGCAGGAAGAACUGAAAAUAACUGAUCUUUUUCUUUUUUCAUAUAUUGCCGGCCGGUUAUCAUGUCUUCAGGUAUUGACUAUAUGAUAGUUUACUUUUCAUUAAAACUGAAUAUAAUAAAAAAAAUGUUUGACGGAAAAACCGGGAAUUUUCCCGAACUGCAUCGGCAAAAUGCCUUUCAAUUCAACGCUGUAACAAGAAAUGAUGAACGGAAAACAGUUCAUAAUCGACGCGUCGUACGUUAGCUCAGGAUCCCUGCGUAGGUUCUAACGCUGUCAGGAACAGGCAUUUGUUUUCUUGAGCAACAAAUAUCCAUUGCUUAGGAACGUGUUCGUGCUUAUAGCUACAUACACAUUCGAACUAAAAUAAUUUUUCAUAAGCUAAAUAAUUGAAUAAAAGCAAUAACCCUCAUGAAUUUCUAUUAUUUUUAGAUGUGGGAAAGUUGAUUCGUGGUGUUAUAUUAAACAAUUUAAGAUAUGGUCUUUAGAUUUGGAUUAAUUUCGCUAUAGAAUAUAUAUUAAUGACCUUUUAAACAACAUAUACAUUUAAAACAUACAUGAGUAUCAAUAAGCCAUGACAUGCACACCAGCACCAAGGAUAGCACAAAAAGAUAGACUCUUAUUUCCAUUGUGGUGCCUUGUGUUGGUGGCAUGAUAUGUAGAGAACCUAUAUCCAAUGCAAAUUAAACUUUCAAUUAAAUAUUAGCACAGUUAGAUUUUAAUUAUUUUGACACAUAUAAACUAGAAUUAGAACAUUGUACUUCAUUGUUCAAGUUAAAGCAGAAUAUAAAAAACUAUGAGGCAAAUGAUAACAUUAAUAUGUAUUAAAUAAUUUACAUUAAGACAACAUAUUGCAAGAUACCAAGAUGAUACUAUAAAAAAUAGGAAUGAGAAUUUAAAGAUCAGUACUCGUAUUACUUAGACUAAAAAAUGCAUCAUUUUAUAUUAAAUGUGUUAAAUGAUUAAAUGAUAAAUGCGGUUAAUCGAAUGGAUAACUUGUGAAAAUAUAUCGUAGUAGGGUUAUUAAUGACCUAUCAUGUGUAACAUUCAUAGUUUCAAGUGAAUAUCUUAUUUUAGAGAUUUGCAGAUAUGUGUAAUUUGUGGAGAUUUUUAUGUUUUGAUAAAGAACGUGGUAUAACUAUAUCAAAAUAUAUCAACCAUGUUAAUACCUACUGGUUUAAAUAUGUUUAACAUCCCACAAAUCCUUUGAUUUCAUUUAGUAAAUACAUUUUUUGUUUAAGUUACAUAUAUUUAUACAGAACUCAGACAUAUAAAUAAAGCGGACUUUAAAAUAUUUGAAAUUAUAUAAAGAUAUGCAUCGUCGGUUUCAUAUGACCUAGCUGAAAACGAAACUAAAUUUAGCUUUAACAUACAGGAAGAAUACAGGUAAGUUUAUAUAAUUAUCUAUUACUUACUUAUUACAUAAAAAUAUGCAUUUAAAAGUGUCUUUAUUAAUAUUUAAUAUACAUAUGUAUUCUUGAAAACGAUGGUUUAUCAUUAUUAAAUAGUUACUGGUAACAGAUUAAUUUAUUUAUUUGAAACUAAAUCACCUGUAAACGAACUUUUCAUUAUGAAAUUUUGCUCAGACCCAUGCAAGUCUCGUAAAAGUCGGAAUAUUUCGACAUGUUUCGUGUUUCUAAAGGUCGUGUCAAUCGACUACUUUCACAGCUAUCUUAGAUAAGCUGAGUGUUAAAUUGAAGAAUGAUUAUCGUUCCUAUCUAUUACUAUAUAUUUAAAAGGAAUCUGUACAUAGCAUUAUCUACCUGUAAUAUAGUGAUUAUUUUUAAGUCUUUUCUCAACAGACUGAUUGUAUUGCAACAAAACAAUACUAACAUGAAAGCAUUAAAAUGUUUAAAGGUAGCUCUGUUAUUAAAGAUCCUGUAUGUUGUAAUUGAGGUUGCAUACCACAUUGAUGUAUACAAUUGUGCUUAUAAAACAAUUUUCGAACAUCGAAGAAUAUGUAAAAUAUGAACUGCAAAUAUUUGUACAUAUUAUAUGUAAUCAUUAAAAUACAUGCAUUCAUUUCUUAUUGAAAAAUUUGACUUAGACUUUAUAGAAAAUAGAUUUUUAUUACCUCCCUUUCUAUCUACACAAAAUUUUUAAUUUUAUAUCUUUAUAAAUAAUGCUUUUUGGAACUUACAAAAAUAAAUCUUAAUUUCAGCAUCAUAUUUAUGAUAUAAAAUCAUAAAACAUUUGUGUUACAGGAUCUUUAAAGAACAUUUCGCAAAUACAGAAGUAUUCGUUGUGCACAACAUGGGAUUAAAUGUUACUGUCUUAUAGAGUUUUGUAGGAAAACUUAUGUAAAAAAUCUGUUUUGUUUUUCUCUCUUUUCUCUCUUUUUUUGAAAACGAAAAAGUGAUACAAAUGUAAUUGUAAAAUUAAGGUAUAAUGUAGAAAAUUCUUAAUUCGAGAUGUUUUUUAAGCAAAGUAAAGUUAUUUUUUAGACUUCAUUGAACAUUUAAUGUUUUCAUGUAAAUACCUUCUUUCAGAAGUUUGCAGGUAUGUCACCGUAUGUAGUAUUUCAUGACUUUUUCAAAAUAAAUGGCACACUAUAUCAAAAUAAAAGAAAGGGUUAUUUGACCUAGUAAACCGGACAUAUAUGUACAUUUGUAAUUCCCCAAGCACAGAACCUGUUUAGAUUUUCUUUUUAUUAAGAGUUCAUGUACUUCUCUGCCAUGUUCUUUUAUUUGUUUGCAUUUUAAAGUGUUUCUUUCUUCAUAUAUCAAUUACUUUAACAGUUAAUUGUUUAGUAUUUAAAACUACAAAUGUAAAUUAAUCAAAGCUUGUUUGAAUGUUUUUAUAUAUAUUCGAAAGAAAAAGUCAACCUUUGUCUACAGAGAUGAAUAUGAACGACGAAUUUCACAAAGAUGGUAAAUUGGCAGAUGCGACAAUUUGUUGUGGAAAAUAAUAAAAUACUAGUAUCUAAGGCAGUACUUAGUGUCGCUUCAACUGUGUUUUGUGCCAUGUUCGAAGGUGACUUCAGGGAGAAAACAGAGACGGAGAUACCACUACCCGGAAAGAAUUAUGAAGAUUUUGUCGAGUUCCUGAGAUGUAUUUAUCCUGACAAGAUGAAGGUGAUAACCGUAAGGAACGUCUACAUGAUUCUUCCUUUGGCUCAUGAAUAUAAUAUAGAGAGGAUGAUGAACGUUGCCAAGACGUGCUCAUGCGCACAGUUAGGAAAAAUUACAAAGAGAAUGUUGAAGAAUUGUACCGGCAUAUCCAACUCUCUGAAAUGUAUAGUGUAGAAGAAUUGAAGGAGAAGUGUAUUUAUCUGGCUUCAGAGCAUACUCUUAAACAAUUUAAAACUGCUAGAGAAAAGAACCAAAUAACAGAUGCCAGUCAUGAUAAGAUUAUAGAGCUUGCCCUGAGAAGACAUAAUCUGAAUAAAGCUGAUGACAAAGUUUUUACAGCAAAGGCAAAACUCCAAUUUUAUUCUUCUGAGGACACGGUGCAGUGUGACUUUAAUGGGAAAUUAAUUACAGAUGGAAGAAAGGCAAGCGAUGUUUGCCAAGCAUUGAGAGUAAUUGAAAGAUUUAAAUUUACUACAAAUAACUCAAACAUUAAGUCAAACUUAUUGGAAAAGUUACAAAUCCUUUAUGACAGUGAAGAAGAUUUGGAAGAAUUUGAUCUUCUCCCAGAAAAUGUUCAAGCUGCUAUACAAAACAGAAGUUAAGUAUUUGUCGUUGUAAAAAAGUACGAGUGAAAAACAUGAAAUUAAUUUAUAAGGAAACUUUGAUUAUCAUUUACUGUACCGUUUAUAAAAUAAUUAGUUUUUAUACCAAUAAUUAAUUUUCUAUCCUAGCUACAAAAUCAGAAAUCAAAUAUAAAUAUUCUUAUUUAUCAGUGUGUUUAAUGUCGUAUUUAUAAUACAUCACGUCACACUGAAAUUCAAAAAUAUAAGCCUCCAGCUCAGGAAAUAAAGUUCAUAGUACAAAAAAACAAUCAAAAAUGACAUUAAGAAUGAAAAACAGGUAUAGAUACCCAUAAUCUAUGAAAUGAUUUGCGUGUUUCUUGCUAGUUUUUUUUAAAAAGUUUUACGAACAUAUUGCUAUAUUUAUAUAAUCACCAUAUUUCGACAUUGUUAUUAAAGGUGUAAUUAAUAUUUACAUAUUAAAGAUAAUGUAAAUUUAUUUCUAUCUAAAAUAACCUUAUUUGAACCUAUACUAUAUUCCUUAUAUUCCUUACAAUUAACAUUCUAAUCAGUUGUAAUGAGUAAUAAAGUGCACGUGUAAUUACUGUCAUAAUUUUAAGCACCUUGUCAUCUUAACAUGUUAUGAAAACAUUCUGUUAUUAACGGUGUAAUGAGUACUUUAAAUAUUUAGAUAUAUUGAAGAGAAUGUAUGAAACUGUAUGUAUUUCAAUACUAGCUUAAAUAAGUUCAUUUCUUUACUAUAUAAUACGUCUUACUAUUUAAAACAUGUGCAAAUUGUAUGUCUUGUGUAAUAAAGUGUAACCGCUUGAUAUGUAUUGUUACUUUUAAACGCCAGCACAGUUUAUGUGUUUGUAUUUAAUAUACGAAAAGAAAAACUGACAACUUGUGAUAUUUCUCAUUUUCAUAAAUUGCCGACCAGUUUCUAUGUCCUCAGAUAUUGACUACGUGAUAGUUUACUUUUUAUUGAAAUUGGACUAAAUACGAAACUUCUCUUUAACGGAAAACGAAUUUUCCUGGACCGCAUUGGCAAAGAUGGCUUUCAAUUAAAGCUGUGUUAACAAAUUAUGAAAACGAAAAAGUAAAUAAUUAACUAGUCAUACGUAAGCUCAGGAUCUCUAGCUGCGUGGGUUCAAACGCAGUCAAGGACAUGCCAUUGUUUCCUUCAGCAAGAAAUACUGAAAAGAUUCUAGCUGAUAGAUACCUACACAUUCAAACUAAAAUAAAUUUGGUAUAAACUUAAUAAUUGAAUGAAAACAAUAACACUCAUUCUAUUAUUGUUUUAUCUGUGUAAAACUAUCAUACUGGUGUUAAAUGAACCAAUUUGAGAUAUUGUCUUUAAAUAAAUAAAUUGUGAAAUAUAUUGUAGUAAGGUUAUUUAUGACCUAUCAUUUAACAUUCAGAGUUUCAAGUAAAUAAAUGACUUUAAUAUGUUUGUAAUUAAACAAAGAAACGCAUCAUAUCUAAAUGCAAGUCUGACCUAGCUGAAAACGAAACUAGCUGAAAACGAAACUAGAAUUCUUGGAAAAUCUAGAUUUAGCUUUAACAUUCAGGAAGAAUACGGUUAAUAUCAGCUCAUACAGCCGAACAUUCUGAUAUCGUAUUAGUUUCCAGAAUGUCACAAGAAAAAAAGAUCAGCUGCAGCAGUUCUGAAAAAGAAGAACUACAGGAUAAACAGAUGUUGAUCAACAAUGAAUUUUGUGGGGAAAAUGAAACCGCAGACCUAACACUGAUUGUAGAGAAUCACAAAAUACCUGUUUCUAAGACAGUUUUGUGUAUAGCAUCCCCCGUGUUUCGUACCAUGUUAGAAGAGAAAACGGAGACUGAGAUACCAUUACCUGGCAAAAGUUAUGAAAACGUCGUUGAGUUUCUGAGAUGUAUUUAUCCCGACCAGACAAACAAAGUGAAAG